CAACGUAAAAAGUUCAUUUAAAAUGAAGAGCACUUUAAUUUAAAGAGGAUUGUCCUAAUAGGCUCUCCGUACUUCUGAGUUUGCACAUGUGCAGUGUGGAAGUUUGAUCAUCCGCCAUUUUCAACUGAGACUUGCAUGUGCUUAGUAUCCUGGAUAGAAUCCAUCGCCAUCUGAGGAUUAUUUGGUUGGUUAGCUAGUUCUGUCUCUCAAUAGAUGCAACAAAAGUGGCUCAGAUGUGGUUGUUUUAAAUGUGGAAGUGCAGACAGUGUGCUGAAAGUGUUUUGACAAGAAUCCCAGCGUUGAUGUUCGACGGGAAUGCAUUCUGAAAGCUGUCUGUGUCUACUUAAAUGAAAAGCCAGAUGACCUGUUCAAGGAAUUCUUAGAUGUGGAUCUUGGUGCAAGCAGAGAAACGGAGCAGCUGACUUUGGGAAUCUAUGUUGUCAGACAUGAAGGAGCAGACUCUGCAGAUACACCUGAGGACAUUGGUGUCAUCAUAGAAGGAUGCACUGUGCUGCAAGCUCUUAGUGAUGUGGCAAAGGGGUGUGCCCUCCUGCUUGGACUAAUCUACAGUCUAAAUCUGAGCUACCCAAAGCACCUGAAAUACACAUUUGAAUUUCUUCAGAAGGUGCUGAUGGAGUUGGAUGGGAACAACCUAUCCAUGAAGGUGCAGGUUCUGAAAAACAAACUGCUUGAGUGAAACAGCCUGCACUGAACUAUAGAGGACACUGAACUUUAAGGUUCUCGAACCCUUCUCCUUGCACUUCAUAAACUGUUCCGUUUGAAUUGCCGCACAAACUUCUGCAAGCCUUUCACUUUUCUGCGUUCUUUGUUCUUGAACCUUUACCAACAUCCAACUACACUGAAAAAGACUGCUCCUAACUUUGGACUUCAGUUUAAGUUUUGAAGCAAAGGUUAUUUUUCUAAAUAUGGACAAAAAUGACACUAAAGUAAUUUCUACCUGCUGUUUGUAGGGCUGUAUUGUGGGAUUUUCAUUGUAGCCCAGUUUAAAAUAAGUCAUGUUAAUGUUAAAAAUGUUGGAAUCACAACACUUUCCAGUUUUAAUCAUUUCGGUUUAGCAUGACAUUCUGUAUCUUGUCUUUCUGCACUUAUAAUGCACUUGAAUAUAUGUAAAGAUUGUUUAUGAAAAAAGAUCUAAAAGCAUUUGAAUUACUCAAAGUGUUUACACACAAGUUUUACACAAAGUAUUAUUAAAGUUAGGUUAACUGAACAAACUUGUGUUCGAUUUAUUUA